AUUAAUUUAGGAGGGCAAAUCCGCUGAAAUUUUAAAAUUGCUAAAAUAUAAUUAAGCGGAAGAAAAGAAAAUAACAAUGAUUCCUUUAGUAACAGCGUGUAAAAAAGGAUAAGCUCAAUUUAGAGAAUCCUUCGAUUUUUUUUUAAAAGAAUUGUUGGAAUUGUUUCUUUUUUUAUUAUAAUAUACUCUAUAUGAUAACUGUUCUUUGGAUUAUAUAUUACGUAAUGUGUAUAUACAUCUAUUUUACGGGUACACAAGAGCAAGGAUAUUAAAAAUAUAUAUAGGAAAUAUAAUGGAAAAUUAUCCCAAAGAGGGUGAAAGGCCCGUACUAGUUUUAAUAUCUACCUUGUGCUUAAAUUAGAGUUAAAAAUAAAGAAUGAGUUGUGUUUUAUGAAUUGGGGACACUAAUACGUGUGAUAGAUUUCACAUAAAGCUAAAUAUGUGUAGGAGACCGAUAGCAAAUAAGUACCGUAAGGGAAAGAUGAAAUAGUACUCAGGAAUGAGCAGUUAAAUAGUACCUGAAAUCGUUAAGGUGGAAAGGAUUAAGAGCGUGAAAACGUAAGGAAAUUAUUAAAAGUAUGUACAUGUGCGCAUAUAUGUAUAUGUAUGUAUAAGAGAAAACCUCCAUUUUCUCUUUGGUAAUUUCCUUAUUAUAAUAAACAAAAGUGAAUAAGAGAAAUUUUGAAGAUUGAAGUAAUUUUUUUUUAAAAAAAUUAAAGAAUUAAUUAUAUAUAUAUAUAUAUAUAAUAAUAAAUUUUUAUUUAUUUUUAUUUAUUUUUAUUUAUUUUUAUAUAAUUUAUUAUUUUUUUUUUUAAAAAAAAUAAGAAUUAAUGAAUGGAAAACACUUUUUUCUGAUUAAAAACAUUUCUAUUUACUUAGGAGUAAAAAAUAUAUAUGUAAAAAUAGAAUGUAUUUAUAUUUUUUGUUUUUAUAUAUGUAUAAGUUGUUUAUAAAAAAUCCUCUCUUAAACCGACCGUCUUGAAACACGGACCAAGGAGUCUAUCAAAUAUGCAAGCGUAUAUGUUUAGAGGAAACAUGUGAAUUUUAUGUGUACGCGAAUGGAUGUUCAAAAUGGGUGAUAUAUGUAAUAAGUGUGCACACGCAUAUAUAUAUAUAUAUAUAUGUAUGUAUAUAUGUAUAUAUGUAUAUAUGUAUGUGUGGGCUUUUUAUAUAUUUUCACUUUCAUUUGAUUUGUAGAUUUUGUUAUGAGAUGAAAAAAAUAAAAAUGGAAAAAGAAAUGAAAAUAGAAAAAUUAAUUUUUUUUUGUUUUUGUUUUUUUUUUUCUUUUACUUUUUGUAUAAUUUUUAUUUUUUUUAUUUUUCAUUUCAAUGCAUACAAAUUACUUUAUUAAAAACAGAAAAAUUAAAAUAAAAAUUUAACAUGUUAAGAAAUAUUUAUUUUUUUUUUUGUUUCUUUUCUAAUUUUUUUUUUUUUUUUUUUCUAUUAUGUUUUUAACUGAGUAAAGAGUAUAUUUGAUAGGACCCGAAGGGCUUUGUACUAUACAUGUAAUAAAAUUAUUAGAGAUAUGUAAGUGUCGUUUAUAUGGAUAAAAAAAGUGUUAUUCUUAAAUAAAUAUUGAUCAUUAAUUAUUAGUGAAUAAGAAUAUUUAAGAAUCCUUUUUUUUUUCUAAUAUUACAUUGUAGGAAAUAUAAAAAAUGAAAAGCCUUAUAUUAGCUGGUUAUUUUCGAAAGAUCUCUCGAGACCCCUGGAGUUGAUUUUGAUAUAUUUUUAUCGUACAAGAUAAAUUAAAAUAUAUAUAUAUAUGUAUAUAUAUAUAUAUAUAUAUAUAUAUAUAUAUAUAUAUAUAUAUAUAUAUAUAUAUAUAUAUAUAUGUAUAUAUACACAAUGUUGAUAUAAAAGAUCUAAUUGUGAAUUUGUAAAUUUAUAUUUUAAUUUUUCUUGAUACUUUGGUAAAAAGUGUAAAUAAAAUAAAUAUAUAUAAGUUGUAUAUAUAUUAUUUUAUUUAUAUAAAAAUAAGAUAACUCCAAGUGUACCAUUUUUUAUUAAAAAAGAAAUUGGUAAUGAGGGAUGCUCCUAAUGCUUGGAUAAGGUGCCUAAAUAUUCGCUCAUGAGAUUCUGUUUUAAAAGAAAAGGUGUUGGUUCAUGAUAACAGUAGGACGAUAUUCAUGGAAGUUGAAAUUCGCUAAGGAGUGUGUAAUAACUCACCUGCCGAGUGAACUUGCCCUUAUAAUGGAUGGCGCUAAAGUGAAUUACCGAAACCAAGCCAUAAAAAGAUAAAGAAAAAAAAAAAAAAAAAUUAGAAAAUUAUAAUCAACUGGGAGGAUAGGUAAAGAAAAGAGGAAACAAAAAAAAAAUUUUUUUUUUCUUUUUUCUUUUUUCUUUUCUUUUUCUCUUUUUGUUUGUUUGUUUUUUUCUUUUUGUUUUUUUUUAAUUUUCUUGUUUUUAAACUUUUUAUGUGUAGAAAAUCGUGGGGUUUUUUGUAUCGAAGCGAAAUACGUGAGUUUUCGUGGAACAUCUCCCUAGUGCAGAUCUUGGUGGAAGUAGCAAAUAUUUCAAAUAUAACAAUUUGAAGACUAAAGUGGAGAUGGGUUUCUUGUAUAUAGAUUUAUUAAUUUAAAUUUACAAGAGUUAGUCGCUUGCUUAUGAGUUUGCUACUUUUUUUUUUUUUUGUUUUUUACGAUGUUUCUUCAUUUUUUGAAGAGAUAAAAAAAAGUUUAGCAUAGGUGACAAGGGGGAAUGUGUUAUGAUCGAACUUGUAUCAACCCUGUACUCUAUUAUACUAUGAGAGGGCAUACAUUUAAUCUCUAACACCCGUAAAUUUUCCUCUACUCAAAUAAAAGUAAACAGGUUAAUAUUCCUGUACGUUCAUAAAAAUUUAAGUCAUAAAUGGUAACAAUUAAUCACUGAACUCCAAUAUAUAGUAGCCACCUUCGGAGUGCGUAUUUUAAAUUAUAUUCCUUUAUAAUUAUUGCACAUGAAAAUAUAUAGCUAGGCCUAUGUCUUAAAUGCAAGAGUCGUAUACUUAGAAUGGCUUAGCACAGCGGUCGGCAUAUUAAAUUGGCAACUAUAGAAGAAUGAAUUUAUACAUAUAUAAUUUAUGAGAUCAUAGAUUUUAUUUUUAUAAUAAUUUCUUGUUUUGUAUUUUAUAUAUGUAAUUUAUUCUUUUUUUUUGUAUCAAUAGUAAUUCUAUUAAAAAUUAGGGAAUUACCCGAAUGCUGUGGUUACUAUCACGGAAAUUAGGAGGGAUAUUGCUUAUAAGUUUUAAAGAUAUAAUUUAUUUUUAUAUUCUUUGAUUCCUUAUUUGAACAAGCUUAGUUUUUAUAACAGCGUACCUAUAAUAGCCGCUUGAGGUCUCCUGGGUUAACAGCCUCUAGUUUAUAUAGAUUAUAUAAUAGCAAAGGAAGUCGUCCAAUAUACACCCAAAUACUAUAUGUAUAUAUAUAUUUUUGAGUGUCCGAAAUUUAGGGAAAUAAAUUUGUACUGAGUUAUAUAAUAGGAGUAAAAGUAAAUUAUCGAAAAGAGGCGAAAAAUUAAAGAAAGAACAAGAUUAGAGUUAUUCUUCGGCAUAUUAUGUAACAAUAUAUAGGUGUGUAUGUAUAUGUACGAGACAAAUAAUAGUUUCUACGUAUAUGUAUAUAUAUAUGUAUAUGUAUGAGACUUUUAGAUGUCGUGUAAUAGAUACUAUGUAUACAUGCCUAUAUUUGCUUUAUACGUAUGUUUAAAGGCUUUCUUCUUUUUUUUAAUUACUUCUUUAAUUUUUAUUUCCCCCCUCUUUUCAAUUUUCAAUAUAUAUAUAUAUAUAUAUAUAUAUGUAUUGAUAUUAUAUAAUUACUGUUUACGUAAUAUACACUCAGUAUGUUAUACCGAUAAUGUUUGGGAGUUUAUAUAAUUUUUUGUCACUGUGAAUGAAAUAAAAGGUCAUAUAAUAUUUAUAUUAUUGACUUUAUCCUAUAUAUGCAAAUAUAUAUACUAUAUAUAUGUAUGUUCUAUACGUAUAUAUAUGUAUAUAUAUCCUUGUUAUAUUAUAGCACGAUGACACGUCCUUCCGCGUUCCUAGUAAGUCGAAUGUUGAAGUGCUUCGAUUGCGUUUAAAGGCAGGGGUAGUUGUAAUGAAAGUUUAUUAUUAUAUAAUUUUUAUAUUUUUAAUAUUCCUGAUUGCAACGGAAAUUAAUCUUUGUCACGUAACAGUGAGAGGAUUAAUUUUUUUUUUUUUAUACAUAUCUUUAUAAAAAUUGUAUAAUCCCCACGACAUAUACCUUACUAUUUUAUCUAGCGAAACCACAACCAAGGGAACAGGCUUGGUGAAAUCAGUAGAGAAAGUAAGCUAUUAUUUCUGUUGAAUAAUUUAUUAUUUACCCAAAUUUGUAACUUUGUAAAACUACUUAAGAGGUGUAGCUUUAUAAGUGGGAGUAAUUAAAAAAAUAUAUAGAAAGAAAAAAGAAGAGGGGAAAAAAAAAGAAGAAGAAGAACAGAGAAAGGAAUAAAAGGGGGUGGGGGAGAAAAAAAAAUGAAAAUAAAAUUAGUAUUUAUAUAUUUUUUUUUUUUUUGUUUUUUUUUCUUUUUCUUUUUCUUUUUUUUUUUUUUUUUGUUUUUCUUGUUCUGUUUUUUUUUUUUCUUCUUUUUUCUUUAUAUAUACAUAUUUUUGAUUUACGCAAUUGAAAUACCACUACUUUUAUGUUACUUUUACUUAUCCACUGUUAGGAAAAUGUAUAAAUAUAUAUGUCAUUCUUAAUGUGUUUCGUAAAAAAUAAUAACAUAUAUUUUAUAUGUGUUAUUAUUUUCCGAAGGGCCUUUUGAAUGUUCAAUAUUGAGAUAAAUUUGUUUUAUUAUGCAUAUAUGUAUUUAAGACACUUUUAUUGCACAGAUUUCCUAUAUAUACAUAUUUAUAUAUAUGUAUGUUGUUCAUAUACUCGUAUGUGUUACAACUACAUUAUAUUUAUGUAUGCAUAUAUGUGGAGACAGAGUUUACAGUUUGUGGAGUUUAUUGGAUUAAGCUUUAAAUAUUAAGAAAAACGGAAUUUUUUUAUUUUGCUUUUUUUUUUUAUUUUUAAAUUAAUCCUUAUUAUAAUUUAUUUAUUUUUUUUUUUAUUAUUUUAUAAAUAUAUAUGUGUAAUUAGAGGAAGAAUAAAUACAAAUAUUUGGAUAGUUGCAAAAUAUAUUUAUUAUAUAUAUAAAAAAAAAAAAAAUAAAUAUAUAUAUAUAUAAAAAUAAAUGUUUUGGAUAAUAACAACAGGGAUAUAUUAGUUAUAUACUUGUGGCUGCCGAGCGAUAUUUUUAGCAACGUAGCUUUUUGAUAUGAGAAUGUUGGCUCUUCCUAUCAUUGAGAAGAAGAAAUCUCAAAGUGUCGGAUUGUUCAACCGUUAAAAGGGAACGAGAGCUGUAUAAAAAAAAAAAAAAAUUUUUUUUUUUAGUAACCAUCACGAGAUAGGUUAGUUUUUUACUCUACUGAAGAAUAUUAAUUAUAUUUAUAUAUUAUAUUGUUCCAGUAAUCCAGCUAAGUACGAAAGGAAUAGUUUGGUCAGACAGUUAAUUGAGCUUUCGGUUGAAAAACCAACAUUGCAAAGAUUUUAUGUCUGUUGUGAUAAUAGCUGAACGCCUCUUAAGCUAGAAUCCAUUCUGUAUAUACAAUAUAUGAUUAAUUUCUUUGUCUUGGUAAUUUUUUUUUUUACUGUUAAUGUAAAAAGAGAACAUAUAUUAUAUUACAAAGCAUUUUUAUAAAUGUAUUUAUAAAUAUAAAUAAUCCACUUUAUAUUUAAAUAUGUAUAUUAUAUAUAUAUAUAUAUAUAUAUAUAUAUAUAUAUAUAUAUGUGUACGUAUUUAUAAUAUUUAUUAUUUAACAACAAAGAAUAUGAAAGAUAGACUGUAGACGACUUUUUUGCCUCGGAGUGCUGUAACCAUGAAAGUAAACAAUUUAAAGUUUUACAAUCUGCUGAGGCUUAUC